rnacentral:rRNA from 1 species
GACGAACGCUGGCGGCGGUGCCUAACACAUGCAAGUCGAGCGGGGUUGAGGCGAGAGGUAACUCGAGCUUCUACCUAGCGGCGGACGGGUGAGUAACGCGUGGGCAACCUGCCUCAAGGUUUGGGAUAACAGCCCGAAAGGGCUUGCUAAUACCGGAUAUGCCUAUGGCCUCGCAUGGGGCUAUGAGCAAAGGGGAAACCCGCCUUGAGAUGGGCCCGCGUCCCAUCAGCUAGUUGGUGAGGUAACAGCUCACCAAGGCGACGACGGGUAGCCGGCCUGAGAGGGUGACCGGCCACACUGGGACUGAGACACGGCCCAGACUCCUACGGGGGGCAGCAGUGGGGGAUCUUGCACAAUGGGCGAAAGCCUGAUGCAGCGACGCCGCGUGAGCGAAGAAGGCCUUCGGGUUGUAAAGCUCUGUCUGGAGGGACGAACAAAAUGACGGUACCUCCGGAGGAAGCCACGGCUAACUACGCG